CUUGUAAUCAUAAGAGGUCCAGCCUGCCCAGUGAUUUUUAUUCAACGGCCGCGGUAUUCUAACCGUGCAAAGGUAGCGUAAUCACUUGUUUUUUAAAUAAAGACCAGUAUGAAAGGCACCACGAGGACUUAACUGUCUCCUUUCUCCAAUCAGUGAACCUAAUCCCCCCGUGAAAAAGCGGGGAUCCCCCUAUAAGACGAGAAGACCCUGUGGAGCUUAAGAUACCAUAACAAUUGCCACACCACCAGCCACCCCGAUGUCUCCCCCAACAGCACCCUGUUUAUGUAUCUUUGGUUGGGGUGACCGCGGAGAAAAACCCAUCCUCCGCAAUGAAAAGGACUUCCCACCUUAAACAACAAGUUACUACUUUACGUAUCAAAAUUGACAUUCAUUGACCCAAUAAUUGAUUAACGAAC
rnacentral:rRNA from 1 species